ensembl:lncRNA PMS2P4 PMS1 homolog 2, mismatch repair system component pseudogene 4
GGCGGAUCGGGUAUUGAGUCCAUGGAGCGAGCUGAGAGCUAGAGUACAGAACCUGCUAAGGCCAUCAAACCUAUCGAUCGGAAGUCAGUCCAUCAGAUUUGCUCUGGGCCGGUGGUACUGAGUCUAAGCACUGCGGUGAAGGAGUUAGUAGAAAACAGUCUGGAUGCUGGUGCCACCAAUAUUGAUCUAAAGCUUAAGGACUAUGGAGUGGAUCUCAUUGAAGUUUCAGACAAUGGAUGUGGGGUAGAAGAAGAAAACUUUGAAGGCUUAACGAUGUCACCAUUUCUACCUGCCACGCAUCGGCGAAGGUUGGGACUCGACUGGUGUUUGAUCACGAUGGGAAAAUCAUCCAGAAAACCCCCUACCCCCACCCCAGAGGGACCACAGUCAGCGUGAAGCAGUUAUUUUCUACACUACCUGUGCACCAUAAGGAAUUUCAAAGGAAUAUUAAGAAGACGUGCCUGUUUCCCCUUCGCCUUCUGCCGUGAUUGUCAGUUUCCUGAGGCCUCCCCAGCCAUGCUUCCUGUACAGCCUGCAGAACUGCUGGGAAGUCCAAGAUCAAGGUGCUGGCAUUUUGCCAGGGCCUUCUUGCUGUGUCACCACAUCCGUGGCUGAAGGAUGGCCGUAUAAGAAAAUAAACAACUUGCUAAAACUGCUGAAACUCCCUCUGCUUGUGAGAUUUAAAAAAACUGGCUGAAAUUGGUUGGAACCAACAUGUCCAAUGGAGUCUGAAUAGAAAGAGCUUGCUGACAUCACAGCCCGAAUUUCCACCACAUUUCAUACUAACUCCCCCUGAAUUUGCAUAUGCAAACCACAAGCAAGCAUGAUCAAACAGACAACUGCGCGUGUCCGAGGACUUUCCAGAUCUCCCCUUUCCUUCCACCAAUCACUUACUAAUCUGAGAAUCCAUCCCCUAAUAAAAUCACUGCCUUAAAGCCUG